rfam:Ornithorhynchus anatinus chromosome 4, whole genome shotgun sequence.
AGCAGAGUGGCUUAGUGGAAAGAGCACGGGCUUGGGAGUCAGAGGACGUGAGCUCUAAUCCCAUCUCUGCCA